AUGAUAUAUUCAAUUGUGCAGUACUCUAAUUUAAUUAGAGCAUUUGAUGAAACACAUAUUCAAGAUUUGUUGAUUACCGUCGAAGAUAAAAAUGCAUGGAAUGAAUAUGUCAAGAUAUGUGUGAAAGAUAGAGCAAGUGGAGUUCAAGUAGAACAUGCAUAUGAUGUGGACAAUGUCAUGAGCAAAGAAGCAAGUGUAGAUGAAGAAUGUUCAACUUUUUAUAUUGAUUUAUAG